rnacentral:rRNA from 1 species
CCUACGGGAGGCAGCAGUGGGGAAUAUUGCGCAAUGGGGGGAAACCCUGACGCAGCAACGCCGCGUGAGUGAGGAAGGACUUCGGUCUGUAAAGCUCUGUUAAUGAGGAAAAAUGGUAGUUGGUCUAAUAGGCCGAUUAUUUGAUGGUACUCAUAGAGGAAGCACCGGCUAACUUCGUGCCAGCAGCCGCGGUAAUACGAAGGGUGCAAGCGUUGUUCGGAUUUAUUGGGCGUAAAGCGCGCGUAGGCGGACCUGCAAGUAAGAUGUGAAAUCUCGAGGCUCAACCUCGAAACUGCGUCUUAAACUACAGGUCUAGAAUCUCGGAGGGGGAAGGGGAAUUUCGCAUGUAGGGGUAAAAUCCGUAGAUAUGCGAAGGAACACCAGAGGCGAAGGCGCCUUCCUGGACGAGUAUUGACGCUGAGGCGCGAAAGCGUGGGGAUCAAACAGGAUUAGAUACCCUGGUAGUCCACGCUGUAAACGAUGAACACUAGGUAUUGGAGGAUUUGACCCCUUCAGUGCCGUAGCUAACGCGUUAAGUGUUCCGCCUGGGAAGUACGGUCGCAAGACUAAAACUUAAAGAAUAGUAGACGUGAGAGUAGCGACGAGCACAGGAGGAGAG